AGAAUGCCCAACAAGCUACUGAGGCUGAAGCUGAAGAAGGCAGAAAUGGAGUGCACUAGCUUCCUGACAGGGCUGUGCUGCGACAGUGACAGACACAGGUUAUCAUGGCAGAAAGACCCAGAAUCAUCUCAGACUCCAGACUCCAGACUCCAGGCUCCAGAGUGGCAAAAGAUCAGCGCUGAGAAGAGAUGCUCUUAGGCAUCAACCUUCAAGGGGACAACUUAGAACAUCUGGAGAACCUGGCCUUUUAGAUCUCCAUGGAAAGAUGGAGAGGUACAUCUGAUGCGCCUGCCUUGUUACUUUUCUUCUCUCCGACACAAAGUAUCAGAGAGGUAACUCACAGGAUGAAAGGUUGAUUUCAGUUUGUCAUUUAAAAGGCUACAUUCAGCAAGGAAGGCACAGAGGCAUGUGUACACGGUACUCUCUUAUGAGUCUGCAACCAGGAAGCAGAGAGCACAGCACGCAAUAAGGCUCUACCUCGAUUAGUUCCACCAUCUCCCCAAACAGAGCCACCCUCUGUGGACUAAGUGUUCGAACACAGGAGCAGCCGAGGAGCCAUUCACAUUUAAAUCGUGUCAUUUUAGGUCUCUGGAGCGGUCGGAGUGUCACGUGAAAACCAACAGCUAGGUCCUACAUCCAUGCCUGCUUCUUUGCAUGGUUAGUGGUUUUGGUUUCGCUGGAUUUCAGACAUUGUACGUUUCACAUUACUGGGUCCUGUAAAUAUUCUCAAGGUUUGUUUGGACAUGGCUAUUGGAAAAGAAUUUGGUUAUUACAAGUUUUCCCUUUAAGAUAUAUUAAAAUAUGCAAAACACUUCAAAUAGGGGAGAAUCUUCUAAUCAUUAAGAAGUUGGAUGUCUUAAUGCAAAGUGUUCCAUGUUUGGGAACAGGGCCAACAGUCUACACGCCCCCCCCCCCCCCCCCCCCAGUUCUCUCUUGCUUUGUCCAAGGCUUAUUUAAAAUGCUUCCAAAAGUAUUUCCCAGGACUUACCCAACUCCAAUCCCCUGAGAAUCUCCCUCAUCUUACUGCCUCUACAGAUUUCACAACUCUUUCAGGGGCAGCCGCGCUGGGACCAGCCCCAGCGUUCACAGGUGCUGUUGAGGCCGGGCACAGCAUUGGACAGAGCACAAAGACUGAUAUCUCUGGUCUCAUAACUUUCUCUCUUCUUAUAACUGGUCUUAUAAUUCUCUCUUACUGUUCUGGGGGCCAGAAGCUGAAGGCUUCUGGAAACUUAACUCUCUUGCUAUUCAGUGGCUAAAAACUGCUGGUUUCUGGUAAUUAACUUCUGCUGUUAGCUUUCUGGCAAUUAACUUCUGCUGUUCGCAGCAGGGGGUUAGGUAAAGAAGUUUCAGGUUGCUAGGGCUCUUUGCUCUCUGGCUCAAGGACCCCUGGCCGGCCAGGUGAGAGGUUUGGAGCUCAUUAACUCUUUGUAAACCAGAGAGAAAAGAAGAGAAAGAAUGAAAGAAGGAAGAGAAAAAUGCAGAAAAAACACUCACUCACUUUGGAUGAAGAAGAAAAAGGAGCUCCAAAAACCUUCGUUUUGUGUUCUCAGUAUAUGUAUCUAAAUAAUCACCUCAUACAACUAUCAGGUAGAGCUAUUACAACAGGAUAAUUGAUUACAUGACUCUUUUACAUUUUACAUUUACUUUUACAUUUUUACAUUUUACUUUUACAUUCCAAUGAGUUCAUAGUAAGUUUAAGGCAGUAGUUCAUAUCAUAAGUGAGUAAGACUUAAGGAAUAAGAGCAGAAUUGUUUACAUGCCUUUCCAUUAAGACUAGUAUCUGACUAAACAUUUAUUUUCUGUUACUAGCUCCAUGAGUUCACGAUAAGUUUAAAGUGAUAAUUUUUAUGUCACAGUUAGCACGUUUUGUUAAGAGACAAUCAUCUGCCUUGUGUCUUAUUUUGAAGUUUUGUAUAAACUAAUCAAUAUUAUAUCUUUUGUCCGUGCACCUACAAUAAAUUGUCCAUAUUGUC
rnacentral:lncRNA from 1 species